GAAAUGUGAUAAGUAAUGUGAAUUGCAGAAUUCAGUGAAUCAUCGAAUCUUUGAACGCACCUUGCGCUCUCUGGUAUUCCGGAGAGCAUGUCUGUUUGAGUGUCAUGAACUCUUCAACCCACCGGUUCCUUGUUGGACCGGAUUGGUGUUUGGAUUUUGAGUGUUGCUAUUUAGUUAGCUCAUUCGUAAUACAUUAGCAUCUCAAUUUCGUAAUCGGAUUGACUCAGCGUAAUAGACUAUUCGCUGAGGACACCAUUUUGGUGGCCGAGACAUGAAAGAGUGGAAGCUUCAAACCCCUCCUAGUCAUUUUUAAGAUUAGACCUCAGAUCAGGCAGGAUUACCCGCUGAACUUAA
rnacentral:misc_RNA from 1 species